rnacentral:rRNA from 1 species
UUAUGGCUCAGGAUGAACGCUGGCGGCGUGCAUAACACAUCAAGUCGAACGGAGUUUGCAGGAAGAGGCUCGGCCAAUGGAGAGCAAGACUAGUGGCGGACGGGUGAGUAACGCGUGAGCAACCUGCCUAUACGAGGGGGACAACAGUUGGAAACGACUGCUAAUACCGCAUAAAAUAUAUUAAGGGCAUCCUUGAUAUAUCAAAGAGAUAUCGCGUAUAGAUGGGCUCGCGUCCGAUUAGAUAGUUGGUGAGGUAACGGCCCACCAAGUCAACGAUCGGUAGCCGGACUGAGAGGUUGAACGGCCACAUUGGAACUGAGAGACGGUCCAGACUCCUACGGGAGGCAGCAGUGGGGAAUAUUGGGCAAUGGGCGAAAGCCUGAACCCCAGCGACGCCGCGUGAGUGAAGAAGGUCUUCGGAUUGUAAAGCUUAGUUAUCGGGGAAGAAGGAAGUGACGGUACCCGAAGAGAAAGCCACGGCUAACUACGUGCCAGCAGCAGC